rnacentral:rRNA from 1 species
AUUGAACGCUGGCGGCAGGCUUAACACAUGCAAGUCGAGCGGAGUGAUGGUGCUUGCACUAUCACUUAGCGGCGGACGGGUGAGUAAUGCUUAGGAAUCUGCCUAUUAGUGGGGGACAACAUCUCGAAAGGGAUGCUAAUACCGCAUACGUCCUACGGGAGAAAGCAGGGGAUCACUUGUGACCUUGCGCUAAUAGAUGAGCCUAAGUCGGAUUAGCUAGUUGGUGGGGUAAAGGCCUACCAAGGCGACGAUCUGUAGCGGGUCUGAGAGGAUGAUCCGCCACACUGGGACUGGGACGCGGCCCAGACUCCUACGGGAGGCAGCAGUGGGGAAUAUUGGACAAUGGGGGGAACCCUGAUCCAGCCAUGCCGCGUGUGUGAAGAAGGCCUUAUGGUUGUAAAGCACUUUAAGCGAGGAGGAGGCUCUUUUGGUUAAUACCCAAGAUGAGUGGACGUUACUCGCAGAAUAAGCACCGGCUAACUCUGUGCCAGCAGCCGCGGUAA